UGAACGCUGGCGGCAGGCCUACCACAUGCACGUCGAGCGGCUGAAGGGAGCUUGCUCCUGGAUUCAGCGGCGGACGGGUGAGUAAUGCCUAGGAAUCUGCCUGGUAGUGGGGGAUAACGUCCGGAAACGGGCGCUAAUACCGCAUACGUCCUGAGGGAGAAAGUGGGGGAUCUUCGGACCUCACGCUAUCAGAUGAGCCUAGGUCGGAUUAGCUAGUUGGUGGGGUAAAGGCCUACCAAGGCGACGAUCCGUAACUGGUCUGAGAGGAUGAUCAGUCACACUGGAACUGAGACACGGUCCAGACUCCUACGGGAGGCAGCAGUGGGGAAUAUUGGACAAUAGGCGAAAGCCUGAUCCAGCCAUGCCGCGUGUGUGAAGAAGGUCUUCGGAUUGUAAAGCACUUUAAGUUGGGAGGAAGGGCAGUAAGUUAAUACCUUGCUGUUUUGACGUUACCAACAGAAUAAGCACCGGCUAACUUCGUG
rnacentral:rRNA from 1 species